GGAGCUGUAGCUCAGGAGAAGAGCCCGUGCUUUGCAUGCAGAAGGUCCCAAGUUUAAUUCCUGGCAUCUCCA